rnacentral:rRNA from 1 species
GACGAACGCUGGCGGCGUGCUUAACACAUGCAAGUCGAACGGAAAGGCCCUGCUUUUGUGGGGUGCUCGAGUGGCGAACGGGUGAGUAACACGUGAGUAACCUGCCCUUGACUUUGGGAUAACUUCAGGAAACUGGGGCUAAUAUCGGAUAGGAGCUCCUGCUGCGUGGUGGGGGAUGGUAAGUUUCGGCGGUUGGGGAUGGACUCGCGGCUUAUCAGCUUGUUGGUGGGGUAGUGGCUUACCAAGGCUUUGACGGGUAGCCGGCCUGAGAGGGUGACCGGCCACAUUGGGACUGAGAUACGGCCCAGACUCCUACGGGAGGCAGCAGUGGGGAAUAUUGCACAAUGGGCGGAAGCCUGAUGCAGCAACGCCGCGUGCGGGAUGACGGCCUUCGGGUUGUAAACCGCUUUCGCCUGUGACGAAGCGUGAGUGACGGUAAUGGGUAAAGAAGCACCGGCUAACUACGUG